rnacentral:rRNA from 1 species
UACGUAGGGUGCAAGCGUUGUCCGGAAUUAUUGGGCGUAAAGAGCUUGUAGGCGGUUUGUCGCGUCUGCUGUGAAAUUCCAGGGCUUAACCCUGGGCUUGCAGUGGGUACGGGCAGACUAGAGUGUGGUAGGGGAGACUGGAAUUCCUGGUGUAGCGGUGAAAUGCGCAGAUAUCAGGAGGAACACCAAUGGCGAAGGCAGAUCUCUGGGCCGUAACUGACGCUGAGGAGCGAAAGCAUGGGGAGCGAACAGG